rnacentral:lncRNA from 1 species
UCCUACAAUGACAAAAGAAAUUACAUUGUGUACAUUCCGUCUCUAUACAUGUUGUCUGUUCAACAUCCCGACCUAAAGAGAAAUAAAAAGACUCCAAGUUUUCGUUAUUAUAAACCCAAGUCACGUGAUGUCUCCUCAAUCUGGCGCGCGCGCUGGACCUGAAAUAAAAUAAAAACUUUCCGAACUAAACAUGAAACUUUCCCGGAAUAAUAUAGACCCCUUACAGAAACAAACAAACGGCAAACAAACAAACACACACACACACAUAACAAACAAUCAUGUUUCUAAG